GUGCGGGAGACCUCAGGAGGAGUAAGUGGCUGGCACAGCAGAAGAACCAACAAUUUGCUAACCUGGGCUUUGGUCCUCCGGAGUGGGGCAAAAUUGCAGGUACCACCCAGACGAACCAAGAUCAGAUCGAAGCAGCCCAACCACGUCGACUGCCAGCGGUGACUGCGAGCACAUCCGCUGCCCGAGAACAUCCUCUACCCCCACCCGGACCUCGAUCUUUCCAUCCUCCCGCCGCGCUUGAGCCCCAGUCCUCCCACCACAGGACCCCUGAGGCUCCCGGUGCCACCUUACCCUACUCAACUUGACCUAGCCCUGGGUCCUGGGAGCACAGGGGAGGGGCGCCGUGCUCGUUUCCCAGGACCAUCUCUCCAUUGCUCCAACCCUGAUUUCAACAUUUCGGCUUCGACAGCGUUUUGAGAGGAAAGUAACAGAGCGCCCCCCCCCCCCACACCUCCCUCUCCCUUCCUCCCUACUCCCUGGCCCUCUGCUGGGGUUAAAAAGGAGAAGUGAAAGGUAUGCAAAUGACAAGCAAAUUGGAAGAUCCUGGAAGAAAGGCAGCUAUAAUAAACAAGACAAAGAGCAAGGACGUGGGGACUAGCCCAGGAGUUUUCACCGGGGGAGAUGGGAAGGAUGAGGCUGGGAGGAGAGCGGGGAUCCAGACGAACAAAAAGCGACCCGGUCCCCCUCGCGGUCCUCUCUCCUGGGAAGAGAGGGCAAGAGAAAGAAGGAAAGGAAGGAAAAGCCUCCUCCCCCUCCAGAAACAGUACACAAAAGGUGACAAGAUCAGCGACACGUCCAGCACUAUCAGCCUCCCCCCUCUCGCCAACACCACCCCCCAGCCACCAGCAGGAAAGAGAAAGAAAGAAAAGCCGAGCGGAUCACUUACUCGUAGGAACUGGGAGAGGCGGAGCGCUGAGUUCCACUGAGGCUUCUGCUUAGAAACUGUUUAGACACUAUUUUAUUAUGAUUCAUUUAAAGAACACCAUUUUCUCCUGGGGAGGGUGGAAAGAUGUUUACACGAGUAUGAGUAAUGGGAGUCUCUUUUCUUUUCUUCUCAUUCAAGAACAAGCCGGUACAAGUGAUUCUGGAAAAGGGGAGGGGACUCGCGAGGGGGAGAAGAUACUUACUCGGUGCAGAGAGCAGUGGGACCGAGCCUUUUUUGCAGGCGGAGAGAGGAAAACACGCGCGCGCACACGCACGAUGGCAAACCUUUCCUACAGAAGCUGCCUGUCUCACCAACAAAGCCACAGGACGAACAGUUCUAUUCAAGGAGGGAACAACAAGAAGGCAAAAAAGGGCAACAUUCCUAGUGAGUUUAGAAGCCACUGAUUUAUGAUUCCAGCAUCACGAAAGGGAAGGAGUUUGAGUUCCUGAAUAACCACUUGGAAGACAGCCUCUAAGGAGAGCUGCCAGACUUGCAUUGGACAGUGACACGAGGGAGAAAUAAACCUAUGUGUGAGAUCACUGAGAUUGUUGUUAUAGCAACUGAAUUGCAUUGCCAAAGAAACCAGGGGCCUGGACUUGAAACGUCUUUCCCUGCUCAAGGCUUAAAACAAUUCUCGAGUUGCCAACCCAUUCCAGACUGAGCGGAAGUCAAGCUUUUAGAGGUGCACUGUUCUGAAGGAAGGGUAGCCCCCCACCACCAAGCCCACUUCAUAUGUGGCCAAGAAGAAGAACAAAAAAUGGAGUCCUUCUUAGAGCCAACUUCACACACAUCCACCCUGCCCAGAAGGCUACUACACCUAGAGAUCCUACAUAAGACUGAUGGAGAAGAUGCUGCAUUCCCCGGGUGUUCUGGACAUUGAUAUGGUGGUGGUGACUGGAUGAGACCUUGCAUUAUCCUCCAUGGGGUGAGCUGGAAGCAAAGAAUUCUAAGAUGAAAGAGCCACACAAUGGAAGAUGCCCAAGCAACACCAGAUGCUCACGAGAUGCCUCCAGGGAACUGAAUCUGAAAGCCUCUGAAGCAGUGGAAAGGGAACGUGCUGGGGAGUCAGGAGACCUGGUCUCUGAAAGAAAAUGGAGCAAAUUCCACCACCCACCCUUUAGUGACACCUACUGUUUCCACUAAUCAGACGAAUGUGAUUCAGUAACAUCUCCCGACCUUCUCCUGUGUGGGAACCCCUGUGUUGGUGUCAUGGAGACAGCUAUGGAGAGACCACAGACUUCAAUCAACAAACCAAAGAACUUCACAACAAAUUGAGGAAGAUUCCCUCUUGGAAAGUCCCCAGGGCCCAGUGUAACUCUGGCCAUACAGGCUGGGCUGUUGGAAGAAUCAGAUGACAGAAUUAGGAGAAGUCUGGCAAGUCUAACGUGGUACCUGGCAUAUUAGGGAGAAUGAAGGUAUAACACCUGGAUUCCUGGAGACUGUAUAAGAACCUGGUGCUCUGGGUGUCAGUGGGGUGCAGUCUUCUGACCCCAGCUCACACUAUCACUUCUUGAAGUUCAAGACCAUCACCAUGAAGAUGGGAUUACAUAAUGAGUGUCUCAAGUUGCCAGUUAAGUACCAAGAAUUUUGAAUCUGACCUGCUACCAUGUUUCAGGAAAAGAGGAGCGUCCACAGGAACUCAAAGCCACCAUUACAGUAUGCUGAUGGCAACAUAGAACAUGAGGAGAGGAAUAUCCAGAAUGAGAACUUGCUGAUCUGAGGGAAAUCCACUAUUGAGUACGCGGGCCUCUCACUGUUGUGGCCUUU